UACGUAGGGGGCAAGCGUUGUCCGGAUUUAUUGGGCGUAAAGAGCGUGUAGGCGGCUGGGUAGGUCCGUUGUGAAAACUCGAGGCUCAACCUCGAGACGCCGAUGGAAACCCCCCAGCUAGAGUCCGGAAGAGGAGAGUGGAAUUCCUGGUGUAGCGGUGAAAUGCGCAGAUAUCAGGAGGAACACCAAUUGCGAAGGCAGCUCGCUGGGACGUCACUGACGCUGAGACGCGAAAGCGUGGGGAGCAAACAGG
rnacentral:rRNA from 1 species